GAAACGUGAUUAAUGUAAUUUCCAGAAUAUGUCGCACAUUUGUUGCCAUCUAAAAGUCAUUGUAAAGGAUUAUUAGAGUGAAAACAAGAAGAACAGUGUUUUGGGGUUGCCAUGGCAUCGACAAAGUACGAGAAAAAGCCAGAGCCCGGAGACCU